UAGGGAAUCUUCGGCAAUGGGGGGAACCCUGACCGAGCAACGCCGCGUGAGUGAAGAAGGUUUUCGGAUCGUAAAGCUCUGUUGUUAAGGAAGAACGAGUGUGAGAAUGGAAAGUUCAUGCUGUGACGGUACUUAACCAGAAAGGGACGGCUAACUACGUGCCAGCAGCCGCGGUAAUACGUAGGUCCCGAGCGUUGUCCGGAAUCAUUGGGCGUAAAGGGUACGUAGGCGGGUAAGCAAGUUAGAAGUGAAAUCCUGUAGCUCAACUACAGUAAGCUUUUAAAACUGCUCAUCUUGAGAUAUGGAAGGGAAAGUGGAAUUCCUAGUGUAGCGGUGAAAUGCGCAGAUAUUAGGAGGAAUACCGGUGGCGAAGGCGACUUUCUGGACUUGAACUGACGCUGAGGCACGAAAGCGUGGGGAGCAAACAGG
rnacentral:rRNA from 1 species